rnacentral:rRNA from 1 species
GAUGAACGCUAGCGGCAGGCCUAAUACAUGCAAGUCGAACGAUAGGUGGCAGCAAUGUCACCGAAAGUGGCGCACGGGUGCGUAACACGUAUGCAACCUACCCAUUACUGGGGGAUAGCC